GAUGAACGCUGGCGGCGUGCUUAACACAUGCAAGUCGAGCGAGUGAGUUCUUCGGAACGAUCUAGCGGCGGACGGGUGAGUAACACGUGGGCAACCUGCCUCAUAGAGGGGAAUAGCCUCCCGAAAGGGAGAUUAAUACCGCAUAAAAUUAUCGAGUGGCAUCACACGAUAAUCAAAGGAGUAAUCCGCUAUGAGAUGGGCCCGCGGCGCAUUAGCUAGUUGGUGAGGUAACGGCUCACCAAGGCGACGAUGCGUAGCCGACCAGAGAGGGUGAUCGGCCACAGUGGUGCUGAGACACGGCCCAGACUCCUACGGGAGGCAGCAGUGGGGAAUAUUGCACAAUGGGGGAAACCCUGAUGCGGCAACGCCGCGUGAGUGAUGAAGGUCUUCGGAUUGUAAAGCUCUGUCUUUGGGGACGAUAAUGACGGUACCCAAGGAGGAAGCCACGGCUAACUACGUGCCAGCCGCCGCCGUAA
rnacentral:rRNA from 1 species